rnacentral:rRNA from 1 species
GGGCCCUACGGGGCGCAGCAGGCGCGAAACCUCCGCAAUGUGAGAAAUCGCGACGGGGGGAUCCCAAGUGCCAUUCUUAACGGGAUGGCUUUUCUUGAGUGUAAAAAGCUUUUGGAAUAAGAGCUGGGCAAGACCGGUGCCAGCCGCCGCGGUAACACCGGCAGCUCUAGUGGUGACCAUUUUUAUUGGGCCUAAAG